rfam:Dictyostelium purpureum unplaced genomic scaffold DICPTscaffold_78, whole genome shotgun sequence.
GGCUGCUUAGUUUAGUGGCAUAAUACUUGUCUUGUAAACAAGGGGUCCUGAGUUCGAUUCUCAGAGCAGCCA